rnacentral:rRNA from 1 species
AGCAGCCGCGGUAAUUCCAGCUCCAAUAGCGUAUAUUAAAGUUGUUGCAGUUAAAAAAGCUCGUAGUUGAAUUUCGAGAUCAGUACGCUGGUCGUGCCUUUGGUAUGCACUGGUGUCACUGGUUUCUCCCUUCUGAAGAACUGUCAUGCCAUUCAGUUGGUGUGGCGGGGAAUCAGGACUGUUACUUUGAAAAAAUUAGAGUGUUUAAAGCAGGCUCGCGCUUGAAUACAUUAGCAUGGAAUAAUGAAAUAGGACGUUUGACCCUAUUUUGUUGGUUUCUAGGAUCGACGUAAUGAUUAAUAGGGAUAGUUGGGGGCAUUAGUAUUCAAUUGUCAGAGGUGAAAUUCUUGGAUUUAUUGAAGACUAACUACUGCGAAAGCAUUUGCCAAGGAUGUUUUCAUUAAUCAAGAACGAAAGUUAGGGGAUCGAAGACGAUCAGAUACCGUCGUAGUCUUAACCAUAAACUAUGCCGACUAGGGAUCGGAUGAUAGUUAAUUUUUAAUAGACUCU